GUCUCAACAAAACCCACUAAUUUUACAAUUUUCUUCCAAUUCUACCCCUCUACCCUUUUAUCUAUACUAGGUUUCAGUGAUUUCGUGCUUGAUUAUUGAUGAUUGUAACCGAAGAUUCAAUGUUGGGUGAAAAUUGAAGACGCGAAUUGAAUUUGCCCUAUCGUUUCCAUUCCCUCGUCAGGCUUCUCCUGUGCCCUGAGUUGUAAUUAGGUUAUUAUGCUUUGCAAGCUCAUAACCGUCCACUCUCAAUUGAUUAGUCGAAAUUUAAGAAGAGUCCAUUCACAUCCCCUCACCGCUCUCAUCAAUUGGCAUGCGUAUUUAUGCAGAAGACACCUUGAUUAUUCUUCAAUUGUUUUCUUGGAGAACCACAACCUCACAUCAAAAUACGAUUUUCACAGUUAUAUGAUCCGUUAUAUGGAAUAACCGAAUAAGAGUUUCAAAGAAUAGUUGGAGUAAGGUAAUGAAGUUUCUUUCUUUCUUAUUUAUUUAUUUUACCCGUCUUUUGGUUAUAUGGUAUAGGUGGGAAUGAUGGAAGUUGAUCUGGUGAUUGGAUUUAUGAUGGUGCUGGUGAUCAAGAUCAGCAAUUGCAUGUUUUUACGGACCUGAAUGUUAUGCUCACCAACUGUUCGAAGAAUGUCCUCACACAAGAUCUUCAGUUGAAAUUAUCAUACAGGUACUCGAAGCUCGGGCUUGGGCUAUUUUGCUAAACGAGCUUUUUUUUAGGAUCGGGUUCGUUUAAGCUCGAGUCGUUUCAAGCUUUUUUUAGCCGUGCUCGCUCAAGCUCAUUACCACUUCUAACAGUUAGUGAAAUUGCUUAUUAUACUGAAUGUUUGGAUUCCAAAGCCACAUCCAUAACCAGCGACGUGAAGGGGCAGAACAUCGGGGAAAAAAAGAGGUCAUCUAUCUUAUAAAUCACAAUUUCAGGUAAUCUUGCUCUUGUUUGAAUAUUGCCUUCAUGAUUGAUUGGCUGUACUUUUAACUAUGUGAUCAUCGAAAGUGUAAAUGCCCACUAGCGCCAAUUCCAUUUUCCGUCGGUGCAUCAAAUGCGGAACUGCAUCUUUGUCAGACAACGGAGUUUAUGGCAAAAGUGUAUUUACAAAAUUUGCUUCCACUAUCUAAAAGUUCGAGCCUGUCACUGUGUGCAUCUCCGGUUACCUUUUAUCUUUCUAUUCGGAAUUUUUUUGUUUAUUGGUGAUAGGUUAGUUUAACCUUUACUUGAUUUUGUAAAUCUGCAUUUAGUUUAAGUUGUUGUAAGAUAAGUUAUGUUUUUGGUUUUGGAGUGUUUAUCUUCUAAACAUAAAAAUUAUGUUCUUUUUGAUGGUGCAUUACUAAAUCAACAAUAAAAAGAUAAUUUUAGAAUGUCGGAAAGUUUACUAAUAGUAUCCAGCUGUCUCUAUGGUCUGGACAUCUUGGUCUUGACGGUGAGAGGUUAGUACCAGUUUACCAAGUUAAAAAUGGUAAUAAACAUUUCUUUGAUUUUAUUUCAUCCAAGUCUUUUUUUGUUUCAGAUGUAUAAAAUUAGAGACCCCAAGCUGACAAAAAAGGAGAUCAUUAUGGCCGAGAGACAUUCAGGAGUAGUGACCAAUAAAGUUAGAGAAAUCCAAGAACACUCAGCCAAGGUUCAAAUUUAUGAUGAAGCACAGGCAAGUUUCCUUUUAGGUUUUGUUAAUUUUUUUUGUUUUUAUUUCAUUGAGUGACAUUGAUAUGAGAACUGUAUUUUCUAUCUUUUGUGGAUUUAUAUUAGCAUUUUAAUUUUAUGGUCUUUGAAAAGAGGCCUAAGGUUGUGUUUGGAAGCCAACAAUUUUAGA